rnacentral:rRNA from 1 species
GAUGAACGCUGGCGGCGUGCCUAAUACAUGCAAGUCGAGCGAACGGACGAGAAGCUUGCUUCUCUGAUGUUAGCGGCGGACGGGUGGGUAACACGUGGAUAACCUACCUAUAAGACUGGGAUAACUUCGGGAAACCGGAGCUAAUACCGGAUAAUAUUUUGAACCGCAUGGUUCAAAAGUGAAAGACGGUCUUGCUGUCACUUAUAGAUGGAUCCGCGCUGCAUUAGCUAGUUGGUAAGGUAACGGCUUACCAAGGCAACGAUGCAUAGCCGACCGGAGAGGGGGAUCGGCGACACUGGAACUGAGACACGGUCCAGACUCCUACGGGAGGCAGCAGUAUGGAAUCUUCCACAAUGGGCGAAAGCCUGACGGAGCAACGCCGCGUGAGUGAUGAAGGUCUUCGGAUCGUAAAACUCUGUUAUUAGGGAAGAACAUAUGUGUAAGUAACUGUGCACAUCUUGACGGUACCUAAUCAGAAAGCCACGGCUAACUACGUG